AACACAGGACAGCAGCUGGAUUUUAGGGCUCUGGGGUUAAAGUUUGAAACCUACUGUAAGGCAUGGAUAUGACUGAGUUUCAAAAGCCCAAACACUCACUGCAGUAUAAGAAACAUCUUAAAAU